rnacentral:rRNA from 1 species
GUGGGGAAUUUUGGACAAUGGGCGCAAGCCUGAUCCAGCAAUGCCGCGUGCAGGAAGAAGGCCUUCGGGUUGUAAACUGCUUUUGUACGGAACGAAACGGUCCGGGUUAAUACCCUGGGCUAAUGACGGUACCGUAAGAAUAAGCACCGGCUAACUACGUGCCAGCAGCCGCGGUAAUACGUAGGGUGCAAGCGUUAAUCGGAAUUACUGGGCGUAAAGCGUGCGCAGGCGGUUUUGUAAGACAGGCGUGAACUCCCCGGGCUCAACCUGGGAAUUGCGAUUGUGACUGCAAGGCUGGAGUGCGGCAGAGGGGGAUGGAAUUCCGCGUGUAGCAGUGAAAUGCGUAGAUAUGCGGAGGAACACCGAUGGCGAAGGCAAUCCCCUGGGCCUGCACUGACGCUCAUGCACGAAAGCGUGGGGAGCAAACAGGAUUAGAAACCCUAGUAGUCC